UACGUAGGGUGCAAGCGUUGUCCGGAAUUAUUGGGCGUAAAGAGCUCGUAGGCGGCCUGUCGCGUCGGAUGUGAAAGCCCGGGGCUUAACCCCGGGUCUGCAUUUGAUACGGGCAGGCUAGAGUGUGGUAGGGGAGAUCGGAAUUCCUGGUGUAGCGGUGAAAUGCGCAGAUAUCAGGAGGAACACCGGUGGCGAAGGCGGAUCUCUGGGCCAUUACUGACGCUGAGGAACGAAAGCUAGGGGAGCAAACAGG
rnacentral:rRNA from 1 species